CUUGACGGUACCUUACCAGAAAGGGAUGGCUAAAUACGUGCCAGCAGCCGCGGUAAUAYGUAWGUCCCGAGCGUUAUCCGGAUUUAUUGGGCGUAAAGCGAGCGCMGACGGUUUAUUAAGUUUGAUGUGAAAUCCCGAGGCCCAACCUCGGAACUGCAUUGGAAACUGAUUUACUUGAGUGCGAUAGAGGCAAGUGGAACUCCAUGUGUAGCGGUGAAAUGCGUAGAUAUGUGGAAGAACACCAGUGGCGAAAGCGGCUUGCUAGAUCGUAACUGACGUUGAGGCUCGAAAGUAUGGGUAGCAAACGGGAUUAGAUACCCCGGUAGUCCAUACCGUAAACGAUGGGUGCUAGUUGUUAAGAGGUUUCCGCCUCCUAGUKACGUAGCAAACGCAUUAAGC
rnacentral:rRNA from 1 species